rnacentral:rRNA from 1 species
CACUCCUACGGGAGGCAGCAGUGGGGAAUUUUGGACAAUGGGCGAAAGCCUGAUCCAGCAAUGCCGCGUGAGUGAAGAAGGCCUUCGGGUUGUAAAGCUCUUUUGUCAGGGAAGAAACGGUGAGAGCUAAUAUCUUUUGCUAAUGACGGUACCUGAAGAAUAAGCACCGGCUAACUACGUGCCAGCAGCCGCGGUAAUACGUAGGGUGCAAGCGUUAAUCGGAAUUACUGGGCGUAAAGCGUGCGCAGGCGGUUUUGUAAGUCUGAUGUGAAAUCCCCGGGCUCAACCUGGGAAUUGCAUUGGAGACUGCAAGGCUAGAAUCUGGCAGAGGGGGGUAGAAUUCCACGUGUAGCAGUGAAAUGCGUAGAUAUGUGGAGGAACACCGAUGGCGAAGGCAGCCCCCUGGGUCAAGAUUGACGCUCAUGCACGAAAGCGUGGGGAGCAAACAGGAUUAGAUACCCCGGUAGUCCCAUGAU